AUGGUUACAACUGAUAUGCACACAACUUUUCCCUUGGUUUACCGUCUUGUUGAGUUAGCAUUGAUUUUACCUGUUGCAACCGCAACAGUGGAAAGGGCAUUCUCAGCAAUGGGCAUUAUCAAGACUGGAUUGAGGAACAAAAUGGGUGAUGAUUGGAUGAGUCAUAGAAUUUUACAUUGA
rnacentral:rRNA from 1 species